GAUCCUGGCUCAGGAUGAACGCUGGCGGCGUGCCUAACACAUGCAAGUCGAACGAGGUAUUUUGUAUUGAAGUUUUCGGUAUGGAUUUCAAGAUACCGAGUGGCGGACGGGUGAGUAACGCGUGGGUAACCUGCCUCAUACAGGGGGAUAACGGUUAGAAAUGACUGCUAAUACCGCAUAAGCGCACAGUACCGCAUGGUACGGUGUGAAAAACUCCGGUGGUAUGAGAUGGACCCGCGUCUGAUUAG
rnacentral:rRNA from 1 species